rnacentral:rRNA from 1 species
AUUGAACGCUGGCGGCAUGCCUAACACAUGCGAGUCGAGCGGAUGAAGCGAGCUUUCUCCUGGAUUCAGCGUCGGACGGGGGAGUAAUACCUGGGAAUCUGCCUCGUAUUGCUGUAUAACGUCCUGAGACGGGCGCUAAUACCACAUACUUCCUGAUGGAGAAAGUGGGUGAUCUUCGGACCUCACGCUAUCAUAUGAGCCUAGGUCGGGUUAGCUAGUUGGUUGGGUAAAGGCCUGCCAAGGCGACAAUCCGUAACUUGUCUGCGAGGCUGAUCAGUCACACUGGAAGUUAGACACGGUCAAGACGCCUAAGGGACGCAGCAGUGGGGAAUAUUGGACAACGGGCGAAAGCCUGACACAGCCAUGCCGAGCGUGUGAAGAAGGUCUUCGGAUUGUAAAGACCUUUAAGUUGGGAGGAAGGGCAGUAAGCUAAUACCUUGCUGUUUUGACGUUACUAACAGAAUAAGCACCGGCUAACUUCGUG